GUUUGGUGGGGGUUACUGCUGUUUUCUCCAUCUCUCACCUCUGACUGUCGGGGGUUCGGUACCUUCCGGCCUGACACAGAAGUGCGCUGCGUAACUGUGUGGCGAGUCUUCACCUUUUCUUUGAGCAUCUGUAGUCCCCUGCGGGAGGAACGCCCCGUUGUGGAGCGGGCCUGGGGCGGGAAGAGGAGCUGCUGCCAUGUUGGGGGAGCAAAGAGGAUUUCAAUGAGGGAGAAAAUGGCGGUGGGGAACCGCCCGGGUCGGCUCCAUUCCCCCCCGGGAUCUGACCCUGCCCGCUGAUGACCCCCGAUCCUUUUGUGUGUGUAAUGCCUAAGUCAAAGGAACUUGUGUCUUCAAGCUCAUCUGCUAGUGACUCAGAUAGUGAAGUUGACAAAAAGGCAAAGCGGAAAAAGCAAGCAGCUCCAGAAAAGCCUGUAAAGAAACAAAAGACUGGUGAAAGUUCAAAAGGUGCAGCUUCUUCUAAGCAAAGCAAUAACAGAGAUGAGAAUAUGUUUCAGAUUGGCAAAAUGAGGUAUGUCAGUGUUCGUGACUUUAAAGGGAAAGUCUUAAUUGAUAUUAGAGAAUAUUGGAUGGAUCAAGAAGGUGAAAUGAAACCUGGCAGAAAAGGUCCUGCUCCACCUACAGGGCGAAAGCAAUGAAGGAAGCCUGAUCACUGAGGGGGGAGAGUGGGGGUAAAUAGUAGAAGAGCCUUGCUGAAGAGAGUAUGAGAGGUAUUUCUUUAAAUCCAGAACAGUGGAACCAGCUGAAGGAACAGAUUUCUGAUAUUGAUGAUGCAGUAAGAAAACUGUAAAUACAGAGCCAUACAGAAACCUUUAUCAUUUUAGUUCUUUUAAGUGGUCUUUUUACAUUGGCUUUUGUUUUCUAAAAUAUUGUUUUCCAAGCUAUUGUAUAUUUGGAUUGCAAAACUAUUUCUAAGAUGAAUACUUUUUUUAAUGUGCAUUAAAAGUGUAUUCUAAGUGAGGCUAUUUGUGUAUACUUUACUAAAAAGAAAGGUGUUGCUUUCACCUCAUGGUAUUAAAUAAAUACCUAUGCUUUACUUAUUAUUUAGGGCCUUUUGAAGGUUUUUGCCAGUAACGCCAUCAAUAGCUUUAGUCUUUUUUUAGUUUCAGUUUAGUAACUGUAAAUAUGAAUUUGUUUUCUGAGGCAAUUUAUUAAAAUGUCUCCACUUAAUUUUUUUUCUUUUAUUUCAUACUGUAUUACCCUGGCAGAUUUCUGCUUUAAGACUUGAUACAAACAGUGAAUACCUGGUCAAACACAUUUUUGUAGGUAAUCUUAAACACUAUUUGCUAAUUUACCAUAUUUAUUCAUAUGUAAACAGUCCUGAGUAUAUAGACUUUUUGCAUUACUUGCAUGAAGUGUUAUGCUAAACAGUAACACUUGAACACAAGCCACGUGCUAUUUCUUCCCAUUUUUCUAUAAUCUGCUUGACUUAGAAAAUACAAUUAGCCUUCAUUCUUGGACCCUAGAUUUUAGAAUGUGAUGCAAAAACUUUUAUAGUAAUAGACAUAUACUUCAGAGUAGAGUAAUAUUUAAAAGCUCCAAAUGUGGUUAUUAGGUACCUUUUUCAAGUUUUGCAUUAAAUUAAUUUUUGAACACAUACUGACUAGUUAGCUUAUAGAAAAGAACAGUUAACCUGUCUUUGUAGGGCUUUUGUUCGUUAGAGAGUAUUGUGUAAACAACAGUGCUUAAACUAGGCUGUAACACCUGUUAAACAGCCAAACAGGGUUAAAAUUGCUUCAGCCAAAAUAUCUGUCUACCAUGCUUCUGCACCGCCUACCCAAACCAUUUAAGUUUGCUUGUCUUGUGUGGCUUACAUGUCCACAACUCUUUUUAUCUACAGAAAAUACUUUGUGCUUACAAUGGAGUGCUGGUACAUAGUGGAUCAUGACUCUAGAGACCUUUGCUUCUUACCAGUGUACUACUCUGGUAAGACAAGCUUCUGUCCAGUGGAAGAUCUAUUAGACUAGAUGCUGCCCUGGUUGAAGGGCUGUUUGGUAGGUGUCACAAACUAUGGAAUGAAGAAGGGAGAAUAUGAUGAUUGAAUAGAACUUUGGAGAGAUAAAGGGUUCACCAGUACAGAAGUUAACAAUGAAAGAUCGAAGUUAGCUGAUACAUAAUAACUACAGUGAAGAAAUGUAUGUUAGCAGAAUUGGAGAAGUUUAUUUUCUGACUUAAUAUAGUUAAUUGAAAAAAGAUGAAACAACUUCAUGAAAACUGACAUUUCAAGACACUAGUGAAUGUACAGCUUAAUGGCUUGGCUGUAACUUUCCCAUUUGAUGUUAAAUUUAAUGUAUUUUUUAAAUUUUAAAUAAAGGAUUUACUAUUUGUUUAAUUUUGGAAUAUAUUAAUGUGAUUGUUGCAGACAUGCAUGGAAGUCCUGUUCUGCUAAGUGCCAUACAGAUUGUUCCUGUGCUGCAGAGUUUAUAAUUAAAUACAAAUGGAUAUUGAAGGGUGACUUCAUCAAAUUAACUAUAUAUUAAUUUAAAUGUUAUGUCAGAAUGCCUCCACCUGCUCUUUGACUUAUCUAUUGUUGGCAUAUUUCAAAUAAAAUUAAGAUGUUUUUGUAUAGCUCAGGAAAUAUGAGGUUUUAAGAACUCUGCUUGAAGGUGAAUAAAAGGGUGAAGAGAUCUUUUGUGGUAGGAGCUGCAUUUUUGGGCACAACAUUCUUUUUUGAGUGACUCUUAAUAGCAUGUAGAGAUAUUUGGACCAAAUAGAAUAAACAUAUCUGCUAAAAUUUUCAGAUGAGUGAAUGAAAUAAAUUGCUUCAGAUCACUAUCAACAAAUUCUAGGUGUUGAUUUCAAUUUGCAGUAUGUAUGUGGGGUUUUUUUUUUCCUUCUCCUUUAAAUCUGAAAAUUUGCAACCAGAUUUCACCCAUUUUACCUCAGCUUUCAAAGAGCUACUUUUAAAGUGCAUGGUUAUCACAAUAAAGGGAACAUUGUCCUCACUUAGAUUACUGUGGUAGUAGGUCAUUGGAUGGCAGUUAUGUAUCAGAGUACAAUAUAUUGUAUUCAGGAAGGUGGAGAAUUAAAUUCAUUCAUUUUGGGGGAGUAAGUGGAAAAAAGUUUUAAUGUAGUGAUUAGUUAUCUUGUGGAAACUGAUGGUAGAGAUGGUUAACAUAUCUUUGAACAAGAACUAUUAGUUCCUCUUAUAGAUAACAGCCUUGCUGAAUUUGUGAUAAUUACUUGAGAAAACUUAGCAGUUUCAUUUUACUUAGCUUGUGUUUUUAAAAAUAUUUUCCGUCUGCCAGUUAUUUCUGCCUGUAAUAAUGAUAAAAUAUAUAUUUUACCUGAAUCAGUCUUAAUGUCUGCAUGAAUGUCCUACAAAAAAGGUAACUAAUAAACUAGUCAGUUUCACAGAUGAACUCAAAAUGGGACAUGUUUAAUUUCGAGAUAAUUCAUUGCACCUUGGGUGACUGAUGUGCUGGUUACGUGAUAAAAAUGUGGCACAUUAAUGUUAUUUUGAAAUAAAUAGUUGGUAGUGAUUUGUCAUGUAGUUGUCUAUGGCUGUAGUCUUUCUAAUUUGAAAAGAAAAUUAACAUUUUUUUUUUAUAAAAAAAAAUUUCUUGCGGACAAAAUGGUAGUCAAGGUACAUGUAGAAGCGUCCAUGGAAGAAAACUGCAUGUAUGAAAAGACUGUGUAAUGUGAGAUAAACACUGCUCCCUUUCCCAUUGAAGUGGCAAAAGAAAGAUGAAUUUGAUUGUUGAUAUUUAUGCUUGACGUAUUAGCAAUAUGUUUUAUAAAAUAAACCUAUUCUAGAGCUUAGGAGGAAAAAUACAUCAGUUAGAGCUGCCAAAGCACCAUAUGUGUGCUGAAUCACUGUCAUGUACAAUGUUGCUCUUAUGUAGAGAUGUUCAUAUUGAAGUUAAGCAUACAGUACUAAGUUUGAUAUUUCUGUUAAAGGAAAUGCCCCAGUUAUGUACUAAUGUGAUUUGUUAGCAAAAAAAAUUAUUAUUGUAAUUCUGGUAACUCAAAUGUCAUAUUGUUAACCAUGUGGAAUGUUUCAUGUUUUGUUCUGGUGGUAUUUACUGCAGAGGCGCCACUGGAAAUAUGUGCCCUCCAACUGUAAUUACCUUAAUGUUCAAAUAAAAAGUAGUUAAAUGGCAUAUGUGUAAUAACAGUUUGAGCACUUGGAAAUAAAUCAAGACUUCUGUUGA